rnacentral:rRNA from 1 species
UACGUAGGGGGCAAGCGUUGUCCGGAAUCAUUGGGCGUAAAGAGCGUGUAGGCGGUCCGGUAAGUCAGCUGUGAAAGUCAAGGGCUCAACCCUUGAAAGCCGGUUGAUACUGUCGGGCUAGAGUCCGGAAGAGGCGAGUGGAAUUCCCGGUGUAGCGGUGAAAUGCGCAGAUAUCGGGAGGAACACCAGCGGCGAAGGCGGCACUCUGGGCUGGUACUGACGCUGAGGAGCGAAAGCUAGGGUAGCAAACGGG